CAAAAUUCUCCAUGAGUCAACUCCGAACGGGUGUAUUAAUUCGGCACGCCUUUUGUGGAAAUCUCUUCAACUGUUGAGAGCGAGAAGCUGAUCAAAAAGUCGAUAAAUAUGCGAUACGUGACAAUCGGUGAAUUCAGAACGACUCCAAUCGUCGCACUGGCCACAGUGUACGUACUCUUUGUGCUCUUGAGUUUGCGAUAUCCCGGGUGCCUACAGAAACCAGAUCCAACGAUGCAUCGAACCAUUCUUCUGUGCCUUGUCAUGUCAUUACUCGUCUUUGGCCCUGCCAACGUGGUCAAUGGCCAGGGAGGACACGCAGGGUGCCAUGGUCGCCUGACACUGACUGCAGACAGUGAGGCAGCCGAAAACGGCAUGAAGCUAACUCCGUUCAUCCGGAGGCUGAAGAGAGCUGUCGCCGGUACGUUGAACAACUGCUGAAAGUACUUGACUGCCAUGGAGAAGAACACGAGAAUCUUCACCGAUCUUCUACCCAAGCCAAGACAUCUUUCUGAAAGCUUACGAUUCCCAUAUCAACCAUAAUAUUUUAAAAAUCAAUAUUGUCUUAAUUGAGGUUCAUCUGAUUUUGCUGUUAAAUCUAAAUUUGAUUUAAAUGAACGUAAUGCACUUUUUUCCUACCCGAACAAAGGAUCACUCUGACAGCAAACAAUUUCCAGAUCAACUAUACUUAUUUUAUUAAAUAGAAAUCAGAAAUCAAACUCGUGUUGCAGAAACUUCAUCUGGUUUUAAUAAAUUUUGAAAACGAUAGAAAAUGCAGGAAAAAUGAAUAAUGUUUUGCAGCCGAAUGUAAAUAUUCAACCAGAAAAGUGAUUCAUAUCUGAUAGUCCAUCGUGACUAAAGUCAACAAAUCGUAUACAUACAGGUACUUUCUUAUAAAGUUACUUCUAAAAACUGAUAUAAUUUUCUGGUAUAUAAUGUAGAACAUGAUUUCAUAGUUACAUUGUUUCUUCUGUUGUCUAUGAAUGAUUAUCUUUGUGGGUAGAACUAAAUAAAAUAAAAAAAUCAAACAUAAAUGCGUAAUAAUUUAUCGUGUUUAAGGAAAUUUAAAAUAUUUAGUUAAGAAAGUGGUGUUUCCGACUGAGGUGAAAUGAUUGCUAAUAUUGUAUUAGGUGAGUUGGGUUUAGGGAAGCUUUAAAGUGCCACCGUCUUCACGAGCUGGCAAAAUAUUUUACGUUACCACGUUGACAUAAUGUCGUUCUCUAAUUGGGUAAUGUUAAUGUUACAUGAAUAAAGGAGCUAUGUCUACAUAGCGAGAUACAUUGUC